rnacentral:rRNA from 1 species
GCAGUCGACGGCAGCGCGGGAGCAAUCCUGGCGGCGAGUGGCGAACGGGUGAGUAAUACAUCGGAACGUGCCCAAUCGUGGGGGAUAACGCAGCGAAAGCUGUGCUAAUACCGCAUACGAUCUACGGAUGAAAGCAGGGGAUCGCAAGACCUUGCGCGAAUGGAGCGGCCGAUGGCAGAUUAGGUAGUUGGUGGGGUAAAGGCUCACCAAGCCGACGAUCUGUAGCUGGUCUGAGAGGACGACCAGCCACACUGGGACUGAGACACGGCCCAGACUCCUACGGGAGGCAGCAGUGGGGAAUUUUGGACAAUGGGCGCAAGCCUGAUCCAGCCAUUCCGCGUGCAGGAUGAAGGCCCUCGGGUUGUAAACUGCUUUUGGACGGAACGAAAAGGCCUUUUCUAAUACAGAGGGCUCAUGACGGUACCGUCAGAAUAAGCACCGGCUAACUACGUGCCAGCAGCCGCGGUAAUACGUAAGGUGCGAGCGUUAAUCGGAAUUACUGGGCGUAAAGCGUGCGCAGGCGGUUCGAGAAGAUGUGAAAUCCCAGGGCUUAACUGAACUGCAUUUUACUACGAGCUAGAGUGUGUCAAGGGAGU